rnacentral:rRNA from 1 species
UACGUAGGGGCAAGCGUUGUCCGGAAUCAUUGGGCGUAAAGAGCGUGUAGGCGGCCCGAUAAGUCCGCUGUGAAAGUCCAGGGCUCAACCCUGGAAUGCCGGUGGAUACUGUCGGGCUCGAAUCCGGAAGAGGGUGAGUGGAAUUCCUGGUGUAGCGGUGAAAUGCGCAGAGUAUCAGGAAGAACACCCGUGGCGAAGGCGGCUCUCGUGGGACGGUACUGACGCUGAGACGGCGAAAGCGUGGGGGAGCGAACAGGG